rnacentral:lncRNA from 1 species
AAAAAAAAAUAUAUUCUGGACCACAUGUAUUUUUGUUUAAAAAUUAAAAAAGAAAAAUCAAAAAUAGGAGAAAAAGACUAAGUAACCAAGAAAUUUCAACUUAUUUACAAACCCAACCACCGAAACCCAUUAACCCGACCCGACCCAACUUCAAAACCCUAAAUUCCCAAUUUCAUCUUUCCCCACUCACGAUUUCAAACUCUGUCUCCCAUAACCACCACGAUUUCAAACUCUCUCCCAUAACCACCACGAUUUCAAACUCUCAUCUCUAAUCAAACUCAG